UAUGGCCAUAUCAAAUUGAAACACCGAUCAGCAAAGUUAAGCAAGGCUGAGCCUGUUCCGUACUAAGAUGGGUGUCUGCUUGGGAAUACCAGGUGCUGUAAG